CAGAUUUCUCUGGCUUGCAUUGCUUCCUGUCUUUGGUUUUGAGGGGCUCUGGCAUGAGAAGGUCUCAGGAGUCCUGAUGGCUUUAGCGAUGUAGCUCCUGAAACCUGUUGGAGAAUGAGGCUGGCCUAUGGGA
ensembl:miRNA